rnacentral:rRNA from 1 species
ACGGGAGGCAGCAGCUAAGAAUAUUCCGCAAUGGACGAAAGUCUGACGGAGCGACGCCGCGUGGAUGAUGAAGGUCGGAAGAUUGUAAAGUCCUUUUAUAACUGAGGAAUAAGCAGGGUGAGAGAAACGCAUUGUGGUGACUGUAGGUUAUGAAUAAGCAACGGCUAAUUACGUGCCAGCAGCCGCGGUAACACGUAAGGUGCGAGCGGUGUUCGGAAUUAUUGGGCGUAAAGGGCAUGUAGGCGGUUUUGCAAGCUUGAUGUGAAAGGCAGGAGCUUAACUCCUGGACUGCGUUGAGAACUGCAUGACUAGAGUCACUGAGGGGCAAUCAGAAUUCCUGGUGUAGGGGUGAAAUCUGUAGAUAUCAGGAAGAAUACCAAUGGCGAAGGCAGGUUACCAGCAGAUGACUGACGCUGAGGUGCGAAAGUGCGGGGAGCAAACAGGAUUAGAUACCCUGGUA